rnacentral:rRNA from 1 species
GCGUGGGAAUAUGCCUCUUGGUGCGGAACAACGUCUGGAAACGGACGCUAAUACCGCAUAAUAUCUAAGGAUCAAAGAUUUAUCGCCAAGAGAUUAGCCCGCGUCUGAUUAGGUAGUUGGUGAGGUAAAGGCUCACCAAGCCGACGAUCAGUAGAUGGUUUGAGAGGAUGAUCAUCCACACUGGUACUGAGACACGGACCAGACUCCUACGGGAGGCAGCAGUGAGGAAUAUUGCGCAAUGGAGGAAACUCUGACGCAGCCAUGCCGCGUGAGUGAAGAAGGCCUUAGGGUUGUAAAGCU